rnacentral:rRNA from 1 species
GACGAACGCUGGCGGCGUGCUUAACACAUGCAAGUCGAACGGAAAGGCCCUGCUUUUGUGGGGUUCUCGAGUGGCGAACGGGUGAGUAACACGUGAGUAACCUGCCCUUGACUUUGGGAUAACUUCAGGAAACUGGGGCUAAUACCGGAUAGGAGCUCCUGCUGCAUGGUGGGGGUUGGAAAGUUUCGGCGUUUGGGGAUGUACUCGCGGCUUUCAGCUUGUUGGUGGGGUAGUGGCUUACCAAGGCUUUGCGGGGUAGCCGGCCUGAGAGGGUGACCGGGCACAUUGGGACUGAGGUAGGGCCCAGACUGCUACGGGAGGCAGCAGUGGGAAAUAUUACACAAUGGGCGGAAGCCUGAUGCAGCAACGCCGCGUGCGGGAUGACGGCCUUCGGGUUGUAAACCGCUUUCGACUGUGACGAAGCGUGAGUGACGGUAAUGGGUAAAGAAGCACCGGCUAACUACGUG